rnacentral:rRNA from 1 species
GGGUCAGUAGGUUGGUCGUGCCACCGGUACGUACUGGUCUCACUGAUUCCUCCUUCCUGAAGAACCGUAAUGCCAUUAAUUUGGUGUUGCGGGGAAACAGGACUGUUAAUUUGAAAAAAUUAGAGUGUUUUAAGCAAGCUAACGCUUGAAUACAUUAGCAUGGAAUAAUGAAAUAGGACGAUCGAUCCUAUUUUGUUGGUUUCUAGGAUUGACGUA